rnacentral:rRNA from 1 species
UACAGAGGGGGCAAGCGUUGUUCGGAAUUACUGGGCGUAAAGGGCGCGUAGGCGGCCUUCUAAGUCAGACGUGAAAUCCCCAGGCUCAGCCUGGGAACUGCGUCUGAUACUGGAUGGCUUGAAUCCGGGAGAGGGAUGCAGAAUUCCAGGUGUAGCGGUGAAAUGCGUAGAUAUCUGGAGGAAUACCGGUGGCGAAGGCGGCAUCCUGGACCGGCAUUGACGCUGAGGAGCGAAAGCCAGGGGAGCAAACGGG